GUUUAACAUGAUGGACUAUAGGACAGGACUGCUGCUUUUAACUGUCUGCUGGGCAGGUGUUGAUGGUCAGACUCUGACAGAAUCUGAACCAGCGGUUAAACGGCCUGGAGAAUCUCACAGAUUGACCUGUACAACCUCUGGAAUAUCAUUCAGCAGCAACUGGAUGGCCUGGAUCAGACAGGCUCCUGGAAAAGGACUGGAGUGGGUUGCUACUGAUGCUGGUGGCAGCAGCAAAUACUACUCUCAGUCAGUCCAAGGCCGUUUUACCAUCUCCAGAGACAACAGCAAAGAGCAGCUGUAUCUGCAGAUGAACAGUCUGAAGACUGAAGAUUCUGCUGUUUAUUAUUGUGCUCGAGAGCCACAGUGACUGGAGUUGGUUGAGCAGCUGUACAAAAUCCUACAGUACUCAUCUUUACUGUGCUGAUAGAUCCUGAGAAAGACUUCUGUUUGUCUUUGA